ACAUACUUAGGCACGGGAGGAUUGCACAACAUGCAUCUGUCCGGAUGAAAAAGAGUCAGGUUUUGGAGGCUCAUGUCCCCUCUAGUCCGAUUCAUACGGAGGCAUUGACUUAUGAGGCUCAUAUAUCUCCACAUUCUUCUUUUCAUAAGAGACAUGUGUCAUCUACUAACGCAUCACUACCUUCAUCUUCCCGUAGGCGACAUGUUUCACAUAUUUAGGCGCCAGAGGUAACCGACUCACCUGAGGUACCUAAGGCACCAAUGCUACCCCAAGCAUAAGAGAGACAACAUGCUGAUGAGUUAGUGCCACCUCCAGAUAAUAAGUCAGUGCCACCUCAGGAUGAUGAGGCUGCUGAGUCAGGGUCAUCUCAGGCUGCUGAGGUUGAUGAGUCAGGGCCACCUUAAACAUUUGGAGGAGGCCUUGUAGAGUUGUCAUAAUUGCCUAUUUAACCGAACCAUACUACCAGACAUAUAUGAGACGAAGAGGACCAUGAUCCACUAAAAAUCAUUAACCAUGGGCGGAAGAUUACUUGCUUGCCUUAGCCUACUGAUGAGUGGUUUCAGGCUGCUUUAUCCCUAUCUGGGAUGAAGAAGUUGUGCAAGACCAGUUAUUUUACGACCUACCACGAGAUGCUUAAUGCAUUCGUAGAGAGAUGGAACACUGAGACGUCAUCAUUCCAUCUACCACUUGGUGAGAUGUCUAUCACGCUCGACUAUGUUUCGUGUUUGCUGCAUCUUUCGAUUAGGGGGAAAUUUCUAGAUCAUGGGAUGAUUAUCAAAGAUAAGGCAAUCAAGUUGAUGGUAGGCUAUCUGGAAUUGACCUAGAGGCUUCCAUAAGGGAGAUGGAAAAACCAGAGGGGCUCAUGCUAGGUUUGAAUUCUUGAAAAAGGUAUACAUAGAUGAGCUCCUUAUAACAGAGUAGGCUAAAGGUGAUGAUGAGCAAGUGAGGCUGCAUAGAGCGUAUGUUAUACGAGCAUGCCUGUUAUAUUUCGUUGGCACUGCCAUUUUUGUGGACAAGAGGGCCACUUAUGUGGAUUUCGUCUACCUACGGUACUUCGAGGACUUCAAGCAGAUCCAUGAGUAAAACUAGGUGGUCGCUUGUUUGGUCAACUUGUACUUUAAGUUAUCAGAGGUCUGUAGGUGGAAGACAAAGUAGGUGACCGACAACAUCACAUUACCAAUGGCUUGGAUCCUCCAACACCUCUAGCACUGAUGGUCGUGUGUACUGACUUAUACUGAUGAUAUGCCACAUGCUUAUGCAUUUCCCUCGCAUAGAGGGAACCAGACGACAGAACCGUUUAAAGUGUAUCUUGACCGUUUAGUUGUCAAGAAUAUGCACUUUAGCAUAUAUGUCGAUCACUGUGAGACACAACCAUUUGAUGACAUAUUGUUAUACUCAGGAUGGUUUGCUUGUGGUUCACAUCUUAUGUUUCAUCAUCUUCUUGAGUGCAUCAUGUGACAGUUUGGCUACGCUAAACUAUUCCCAUACACUAUGUUGUCUCUGCUCCUCCUUCUAUGACACAUAGAGAUAUGAGUGCUAUAUUUGAUGAUUAUCUUAGUCAUCUAGUACCAGAGGAGGCAUAAAAUACCAUAGAUGAGAGUGAAUGGAGCUAUGUCGACGGGUACAUCAGGUGGUUCUUCAGGGUGUCACAUCUGUAUAUGGUGCAGGCUGCUCCAGGAGAUCCACCGAGUCCAGCUCAUUGUGAGAUACUAGAGGAGGAGCAUGCACAAUUAGAUCAUGGUCAUAAUGUCUUGUCUAAAUGUCGUUGCAUUGUGGAGAUUGUGCAUGCAGACAUUGAAAAGGGUAUCUUUUCUUAUGGGUAUGGGAUGAUGCAAGUCAUAAAUGCCAUUAUGAUGAAGACAUGAGAGACACUGAUGAACUAGAGACAACGUUGGAGGAUGGGGGUAUAGGAGCCCGAUGAUCUCUAG